rnacentral:rRNA from 1 species
GGACUACCAGGGUAUCUAAUCCUGUUUGCUCCCCACGCUUUCGUGCCUCAGUGUCAGUGCUGGUCCAGGUAGCCGCCUUCGCCACUGGUGUUCCUCCCGAUCUCUACGCAUUUCACCGCUACACCGGGAAUUCCACUACCCUCUACCGCACUCUAGCCUCCCAGUAUCCACUGCCAUUCCCAGGUUGAGCCCGGGGAUUUCACAACGGACUUAAGAGACCACCUACGCACGCUUUACGCCCAGUAAUUCCGAGUAACGCUUGCACCCUUCGUAUUACCGCGGCUGCUGGCAC